AGGCUGCAACCCGCCUGCAUGGAGCUGGAAUCGCUAGUAAUCGCGGAUCAGAAUGCCGCGGUGAAUAACGUUCCCGGGUCUUGUACACACCGCCCGUCACACCAUGGGAGUCGGGAAUGCCCGAAGCCGGUGACCGAACCGCAAGGACGGAGCCGUCGAAGGCAGAUUCGAUAACUGGGGUGAAGUCGUAACAAGGUAUC
rnacentral:rRNA from 1 species